AGAGUUUGAUCCUGGCUCAGGAUGAACGCUGGCGGCGUGCCUAAUACAUGCAAGUCGAGCGAACGGACGAGAAGCUUGCUUCUCUGAUGUUAGCGGCGGACGGGUGAGUAACACGUGGAUAACCUACCUAUAAGACUGGGAUAACUUCGGGAAACCGGAGCUAAUACCGGAUAAUAUUUUGAACCGCAUGGUUCAAAAGUGAAAGACGGUCUUGCUGUCACUUAUAGAUGGAUCCGCGCUGCAUUAGCUAGUUGGUAAGGUAACGGCUUACCAAGGCAACGAUGCAUAGCCGACCUGAGAGGGUGAUCGGCCACACUGGAACUGAGACACGGUCCAGACUCCUACGGGAGGCAGCAGUAGGGAAUCUUCCGCAAUGGGCGAAAGCCUGACGGAGCAACGCCGCGUGAGUGAUGAAGGUCUUCGGAUCGUAAAACUCUGUUAUUAGGGAAGAACAUAUGUGUAAGUAACUGUGCACAUCUUGACGGUACCUAAUCAGAAAGCCACGGCUAACUACGUGCCAGCAGCCGCGGUAAUACGUAGGUGGCAAGCGUUAUCCGGAAUUAUUGGGCGUAAAGCGCGCGUAGGCGGUUUUUUAAGUCUGAUGUGAAAGCCCACGGCUCAACCGUGGAGGGUCAUUGGAAACUGGAAAACUUGAGUGCAGAAGAGGAAAGUGGAAUUCCAUGUGUAGCGGUGAAAUGCGCAGAGAUAUGGAGGAACACCAGUGGCGAAGGCGACUUUCUGGUCUGUAACUGACGCUGAUGUGCGAAAGCGUGGGGAUCAAACAGGAUUAGAUACCCUGGUAGUCCACGCCGUAAACGAUGAGUGCUAAGUGUUAGGGGGUUUCCGCCCCUUAGUGCUGCAGCUAACGCAUUAAGCACUCCGCCUGGGGAGUACGACCGCAAGGUUGAAACUCAAAGGAAUUGACGGGGACCCGCACAAGCGGUGGAGCAUGUGGUUUAAUUCGAAGCAACGCGAAGAACCUUACCAAAUCUUGACAUCCUUUGACAACUCUAGAGAUAGAGCCUUCCCCUUCGGGGGACAAAGUGACAGGUGGUGCAUGGUUGUCGUCAGCUCGUGUCGUGAGAUGUUGGGUUAAGUCCCGCAACGAGCGCAACCCUUAAGCUUAGUUGCCAUCAUUAAGUUGGGCACUCUAAGUUGACUGCCGGUGACAAACCGGAGGAAGGUGGGGAUGACGUCAAAUCAUCAUGCCCCUUAUGAUUUGGGCUACACACGUGCUACAAUGGACAAUACAAAGGGCAGCGAAACCGCGAGGUCAAGCAAAUCCCAUAAAGUUGUUCUCAGUUCGGAUUGUAGUCUGCAACUCGACUACAUGAAGCUGGAAUCGCUAGUAAUCGUAGAUCAGCAUGCUACGGUGAAUACGUUCCCGGGUCUUGUACACACCGCCCGUCACACCACGAGAGUUUGUAACACCCGAAGCCGGUGGAGUAACCUUUUAGGAGCUAGCCGUCGAAGGUGGGACAAAU
rnacentral:rRNA from 2 species